rnacentral:rRNA from 1 species
GGCGUGUACUGCUCUGCUGGGCCUUACCUCUUGGUGAGCCGGCGUGGCCUUAACUGGUUGCGUCGGGGAACCAGGACUUUUACCUUGAGAAAAUUAGAGUGUUCAAAGCAGGCCUAUGCCUGAAUACAUUAGCAUGGAAUAAUAAAAUAGGACGUGCGGUUCUAUUUUGUUGGUUUCUAGAGUCGCCGUAAUGAUUAAUAGGGAUAGUUGGGGGCAUUGGUAUUGAGUCGCUAGAGGUGAAAUUCUUGGAUUGACUCAAGACCGACUACUGCGAAAGCAUUUGCCAAGGAUGUUUUCAUUAAUCAAGGACGAAGGUUAGGGGAUCGAAAACGAUCAGAUACCGUUGUAGUCUUAACAGUAAACUAUGCCGACUAGGGAUCGGGCGAUGUUAUUAUUUGACUCGCUCGGCACCUUACGAGAAAUCAAAGUUUUUGGGUUCUGGGGGGAGUAUGGUCGCAAGGCUGAAACUUAAAGGAAUUGACGGAAGGGCACCACCAGGUGUGGAGCCUGCGGCUUAAUUUGACUCAACACGGGGAAACUCACCAGGUCCAGACAUAACUAGAAUUGACAGAUUGAUAGCUCUUUCAUGAUUUUAUGGGUGGUGGUGCAUGGCCGUUCUUAGUUGGUGGAGUGAUUUGUCUGGUUAAUUCCGAUAACGAACGAGACCUUAACCUGCUAAAUAGCCAGGCCGGCUUCUGCUGGUCGCAGGCUUCUUAGAGGGACUGUCAG